UACGUAGGUGGCAAGCGUUGUCCGGAAUCACUGGGUGUAAAGCGCGCGCAGGCGGGAAGGUAAGUCGGAAGUGAAAUCCCCGGGCUCAACCUGGGCAGGUCAGCUAAGACUGUUUAACUCGAGUAUGGGAGAGGGUAGUGGAAUUUCCGGUGUAGCGGUGAAAUGCGUAGAGAUCGGAAGGAACACCAGUGGCGAAGGCGGCUACCUGGCCUAAUACUGACACUGAGGCACGAAAGCGUGGGGAGCAAACAGG
rnacentral:rRNA from 1 species